UGGGGAAUAUUGCACAAUGGGGGGAACCCUGAUGCAGCCAUGCCGCGUGAAUGAAGAAGGCCUUCGGGUUGUAAAGUUCUUUCGGUGACGAGGAAGGUUGAUAGGUUAAUAGCCUAUCAAAUUGACGUUAAAUACAGAAGAAGCACCGGCUAACUCCGUGCCAGCAGCCGCGGUAAUACGGAGGGUGCGAGCGUUAAUCGGAAUAACUGGGCGUAAAGGGCACGCAGGCGGUUAUUUAAGUGAGGUGUGAAAGCCCCGGGCUUAACCUGGGAAUUGCAUUUCAGACUGGGUAACUAGAGUACUUUAGGGAGGGGUAGAAUUCCACGUGUAGCGGUGAAAUGCGUAGAGAUGUGGAGGAAUACCGAAGGCGAAGGCAGCCCCUUGGGAAUGUACUGACGCUCAUGUGCGAAAGCGUGGGGAGCAAACAGGAUUAGAUACCCUGGUAGUCCACGCUGUAAACGCUGUCGAUUUGGGGAUUGGGCUUAAAGCUUGGUGCCCGUAGCUAACGUGAUAAAUCGACCGCCUGGGGAGUACGGCCGCAAGGUUA
rnacentral:rRNA from 1 species